AACGCGAAGAACCUUACCCAGGCUCGAAAUGUAAUGGACGGUAUCAGAGAUGAUACUUUCCGCAAGGACCGUUAUAUAGGUGCUGCAUGGCUGUCGUCAGCUCGUGCCGUGAGGUGUUUGGUUAAGUCCAGCAACGAGCGCAACCCUUAUCAUUAGUUGCCAACGUUUAAGGCGGGGACUCUAGUGAGACUGCCUGGGUUAACCAGGAGGAAGGUGAGGAUGACGUCAAGUCCGCAUGGCCUUUAUGUCUGGGGCUACACACGUGCUACAAUGGUCGGUACAGAAGGCAGCAAGACCGCAAGGUGGAGCAAAUCCGUAAAGCCGAUCUCAGUUCAGAUUGUAGUCUGCAACUCGACUACAUGAAGCUGGAAUUGCUAGUAAUGACGUGUCAGCAACAACGUCGUGAAUACGUUCCCGGGCCUUGUA
rnacentral:rRNA from 1 species